GCAUGAGUGCAAAUGCAUACGAAGAGUACUGAUAGCAUCUGUCUAGAGCCUAUGGUCACUUGAUCUACCCGCCUAUAUGUCAUGGGAUGCGCAUGGGGUAUCUCGCGAAUGGCGCGAAAUCCGGAGGGAGCGAUCGCCGGGUGAGUGAUGAAGUUCUUACGAACGUAAAACUCGUUCGUUCAGACGAACGGGUGACAGGAAAUCGGUUUCCAGUGACGGUAGUGGACGAGGAGCACGUCUACUACGUGCAGCAGCCGCGGUACUACGUAGGUGGCAAGCGUGUCGGAAUUAUGGGCGUAAAGCGCAUGUAGGCGGUCGUAAGUCGGUCGUGAAAAUGCGGUGCUUAACGCCGUAUGGCGAUCGAAACUGGGGACUUGAGUGCAGGAGAGGAAAGGGGAACUCCCAGUGUAGCGGUGAAAUGCGUAGAUAUUGGGAAGAACACCGGUGGCGAAGGCGCCUUUCUGGACUGUGUCUGACGCUGAGAUGCGAAAGCCAGGGUAGCGAACGGGAUUAGAUACCCCGGUAGUCCUGGCCGUAAACGAUGGGUACUAGGUGUGGGAGGUAUCGACCCCUUCCGUGCCGGAGUUAACGCAAUAAGUACCCCGCCUGGGGAGUACGGCCGCAAGGCUUAAACUCAAAGGAAUUGACGGGGGCCCGCACAAGCGGUGGAGUAUGUGGUUUAAUUCGACGCAACGCGAAGAACCUUACCAAGGCUUGACAUUGAGUGAAAGACCUGGAGACAGGUCCCCCUCUUCGGAGGCACGAAAACAGGUGGUGCAUGGCUGUCGUCAGCUCGUGUCGUGAGAUGUUGGGUUAAGUCCCGCAACGAGCGCAACCCCUAUCCUAUGUUACCAGCAUUAAGUUGGGGACUCAUAGGAGACUGCCAGGGAGAACCUGGAGGAAGGCGGGGAUGACGUCAAGUCAUCAUGCCCCUUAUGUCUUGGGCUACACACGUACUACAAUGGUCGGCAACAGAGAGCAGCGAACCCGCGAGGGGGAGCGAACCUCAAAAACCCGAUCCCAGUUCGGAUCGCAGGCUGCAACCCGCCUGCGUGAAGUCGGAAUCGCUAGUAAUCGCAGGUCAGCAUACUGCGGUGAAUACGUUCCCGGGCCUUGUACACACCGCCCGUCACACCACGAAACUUGGUAACACCCAAAGCCGGUGGGAUAACCGCAAGGAGUCAGCCGUCUAAGGUGGGGCCGAUGAUUGGGGUGAAGUCGUAACAAGGUAAAUCACUGCCGUCGAACUCCC
rnacentral:rRNA from 1 species